AUAUCUCAACAUAAGGAAAUUUCUUGUGCUUGGAUGUUGAAGGAUUUGCUGGUGCAACAACUGCCAGCUCCUUUUAAAUGUAUUAGCAGAGCAUGUAGGACUGGCCUCAGUUUGAUAAGAAUCAUUAUCUAUGCUGUCGCUAGAUUUUUCCUCUUUGUGCUUAGCUUCAAAUGGUCCUCGGACUGUCUCCUUGAGGCAACAAAAAUCUUAUU
rnacentral:misc_RNA from 1 species